rnacentral:siRNA from 1 species
UGAUUCUUUUUUCAUUGAGGC